rnacentral:tRNA from 1 species
CCCCUCAUAUCUCAGUCGGUAAAGAAUCUGCCUGCAAUGCAGGAGACCCAGGUUCAACACCUGGGUUGGGA